ensembl:lncRNA
GGAAAAGACAACUAUAAUGGAUAAAACAAGGGAAAAUGCAGGAGAGUAGUAGUAUUCUUGGACACUCAGAACAAAGUUCCACAAUCUGAAUUGCUAAAAGCAAUAGAAAUGCAUAACUCCAGGGCCAGGGAUUUAGCUCAGUGGUUUUGCUGCCUGCCGCUCAAGCGCAAGGACCCUAGUUCAAUCCCCAGUACCAAAAAAAUAAACUUUAAAAAAAAAUUAAGUCAAAUUUUAAACUGAAAAAUUCAAUAUGUGAAGUUGAACAUUCUUUGGGUAAGAUUAAAAGCAUAUUAGACUUGCCAGGUAUGGUAGCACACGGCUGUAAUACCAGCAUUCAGGAGGCUGAGGCAAGAAUAGCCAUGAACUUGAGGCUAGCCUGGGCUACCUAGAAAACACUGUCGCAAAACAAAACAACAAAAAAAGCAUAUUAGACUCAAUUUAAAGAGGGUAACAAGUUAAUACAAAUUAUACCAAAGUUUGUGCAUGCACAUACAUAAAAUGAAUAAAGCCUCAAUAAGCAUCUGAUAUACAUACAAUUCGAGGGCUGGGGAUUUAGCUCAGUGGUUCCACUGCCUGCUUUGCAAGCACAAGGACCCGAGUUAGAUCCCCAGUACCAAAAAAAAAACAACAAAAAGACCCCCCAUACAAUUAGAGUCUCAGAGGAGGAAAGUGGAAGAAUGAGUCAGAAAAAAUAUUUGAAAAAAUAUUUGAUGAAAUAUUGGCAGAGAAUAUUUCAAGUUUGAUUGCAAAAAAUCCCAACCUACAGGGGUGGGGAUUUAGCUCAAUGGUUCCGGCUCCUGCCUCGCAAGCAUAAGGUCCCGAGUUUGAUUCCUGAUACCAAAAAAAAAAAAAAGAUAAAAUAGUAGCUACACUUUUGGGCUGGGGAUUUAGCUCAGUGGUUUUGCCAACUGCUGCGCAAGCACAAGGACUUGAGUUCGAUCCCCGGUACCAAAAAAAAAAACAACCAACCUACAUAUUGAGGAAGUUCAGCGAACCCUAACUAGGGUGAAUACAAAGAAAAUCAUUUAGGCACAUCAUGGUUGGAUUCCAGAGAACCAAAAAUAAAGAAAAUAAAGAAAAAUAAAGAAAAACUCUGAAAAGCAGCUGAGGAAAAUUUAAAAAGACAAUUAGAAAUAAGAAAACCAAAAAAAAAGCAGAAGACUACAAACUUCUACUAAAACAAUGCAAGUCAGAAGACAAUGGAACUGCAUCUAAUAAGUAAUAAAAGAAAAAAUUGUCAUCUUAGAAUGGUAUCUGUGAAAAUAUCUUUCAAAAUAGAAAUUACUUUUUUGGACAAAUGAAAUAGAUAAUUUGUUAACAGAACUGAAGCAUAAAUACUAAAUAAAGGUCAUUAGGUUAAAGGAAAAAUUUCAGGUUUAUAGACAAAACAUACAAGGAAUAGUAAAAUGCGAAUACAUACAAAUGCCAGUUUUAUUUUUCUUAGCGUUUUCUUUUUCUGAGACAAGGCCUCGCUGUGGAGCCUGGCUGGUCUUGAACUCACACCGACUCUCCUGCCUCAGCCUCCUGAGUGCUAGGAUUAUAGGCAUGUCCUUCCACACCCAGGUAUUUGAGCUUAUUUCUAGUAUGAGUCCUGUUUUCUCUAAAGCUUGUAACUGAGCUGGCCGCCCACACAGCAUCCCCUCCAGAACUCAGCAUCCAUCCAGUCGGCCUGUGCCGGAUGCCAGUGACAUGUUGGUCCCUGCCAGCUGCCUGGGGUUGUGGCCACUUUUUAGGAGCAGGAAGUGACCCACCCACCUUCGCAUGUCCCACAGCAGGGGUAGGGGGUCCAACACCUACAGUCAGGUCUCCAAACCGUGGCUUGAGCUGAACUUUCCUGAGGUUGUCUGGGGUCAGCAGCAGGGGCCAAUUGGGUGUUACAUUUGGAUCUGAAGUGUCCCCCAGAAUUCUCCUGUGUGUGUAAGGUGCAAGCGGAUGGGAUCAAUGGAGCUGGACUCAUCGAUGGAUUCCUGCAUGCCUGAGGUCAUAGCCGAGUAUACUGUGAAGGAGGUGGGGCCUCCGCGGAGGUGGCCACUGGGGGAGUGGCCUGGAAGAGGCUGUUCUCCCUGCUCCUCCCUUCUCUCCCUGCUUCCUGGCCGCCAGGAAGUGAGCAUGUGUCCUCCACCAGGCCCUUCUGCCCUGCUGCUCUGCCUUGGAACUGGCCACCCACAGACUGAAACUAUAAGCGAAAAUAAACCUCAAGCGAAAAUAAACCUCUUCUUUUUUUUUUUUUUUUUUUUUUUUUUGGUACGGGGGACUGAACUCCGGUCCUUGCGCUUGCGCAGCAGGCAGCAAAACCACUGAGCUAAAUCCCCGGCCCCUAUAAAUCUCUCCUUUACACUGUGGCGUCAGGUACUGAGUCCAGGGAGGGAAGGUGCCUAAGGCACCAGGCACCCUGUGUUCCCCAGAGCCACUCUCGCUGGGCACCUACCGCCCUGGCCUCAGGAUGUGGAUGAGGCCUUUCCUCCAGCUCCCCUGAGAACCCUGAGUGUGGGCAGCAGGCUCUGGUGUGGGAAGAGGCCGGGCCCAGGGGCUGCGGCAGAAAAAGCCUGGGUCAGGCCCACAUUACAAGUGCUGGGCAGGGAAAGAGCACCGGGGACCUGGCCCUCCCUUCUGCUCCCCUCACCCCACACCUGGGCCCCCAGGGCACACUCCACAUCUGCUCGAAGUGGGGCCCAGAGCCUUGUGGACAGAGCUGUUUCCAGGGACUCCUGACCUCAGGCGUUUGGGCCCUGGAGCACCACCCCUCCUGCCUGGUGGCAGGCGACCCCUCCCUGAUCUCUCACACCCCGACUGUCUUGGCUCCUUUUGUCCCUCGGGUAAAUGAAAUCCUUUGGAUUAUGACUGUGAGAUUUGUUCUCAAAGCUGACCAGCCACCUUUGUUUAUCGCCUGUCCCAUGGAGAGGGACUGGGAUUGAUUCCUUCUCAUGUAGGACUCCCCUGAAUAGUGCCAAUGUGACUGUCCCCGCUCACUUCUGGUUUCUUGUUUGGUUUCUGUGGGCCCCCACCCUGAGGCCCAUCCCCAUUCCUUUUUUUUAUUUUGAGACAGAGUCUCACCAAGUCACUAAGUUACCAGGCUGAACUUGCACUUGUGAUCCUCCUGCCUCAGCCUCCUGAGUGCUGGGGUCACAGGGGUGCACCAUGUGGAUAUCCUGCUUGUGGAGAACUGUUUGGUUUUGAGACAGGGUCUCACUUUGUAGCCCAGGCUGGCCUCAAACUCACUACAAUCCUCCUGCCUCAGCCUCCUGAGUGCUGGGAUGACAGGGGUGCAUCACCAGACUUACUAAUUCAAGUUUCCCCCCUAUUUUUCUCGAGAAGUCUGCCUUUUUCUUAUUAAUUGGUAGGAAUUCUUUAUGUAUUCUGAGGAAAAAUCACCUGCUCUGUGUGUGUGUAUGCGUGUGCACGUGUGUGUGUGUGUAAGGCCAGCCACUCUCUCACCAACUCAGAGCACCCUGGCAGCUGGGCCAUAUCUACACUGUGGGCAGUGACAGGGUUUCAAACAAAAGAAGUAACAUGUCACAUGUGAUUACUCUGAUUUGAAUUGAGUUCGCUUUUUUUUUCGGUACUAGGGAUCGAACUCAGAACUGUGUGCUUGCCAGGCAGGCACGGCACCACUGAGCUACAUCCCCAGCUUGAUUUUGCAUUUGACUGAUCAAUUUGCCUUGGUUUAUGGUUGUGUAAGAGCUAUGUGGGGCCAGGGAUUUAGUUCAGUGGUUCCGCCGCCUGCCUUGCAACCACAAGGACCUGAGUUCGAGCCCUGGUUCCAGAAAAAAAAAAAAAGAGCUAUGUGGAGUUUAUGUCAUACCUUAUGUUUGUACAUAUUUUUGUUAUUUUUGUAGACAGGGUCUUGCUAUGUAGCUCCAGCUGGAACUCACAAUGAUCCUCCUGCCUCAGCCUCCUGAGUGCUUGGAUUACAAGUGUGCAUCAGCACACCUGGCCUGAAAGUUUUCCGGAGACCACUGUAGAUGCACAUGUGGCUGUCAGAAAUGAUGCAGUGCAUGGCAGUGCAGUGCCACCCUCAACUCCAGGAUGUGGCACUGACCCACCCCCACCUCUCUGACUCCUCUGCUUUACUUCUGCCUGGAUGUGGCUUCCUGUAGGGGAUCCUGGCCAGGGCAACCCUCACCCCAGCCAAAGUCCAGACCACUUCUGUCACCAGGAGGGUCCCUCCUGUGCGUGUUAUACCCGAGGCGCUCCAUCCCCACCCCCACCCAAACGGGACACCUGGAAUCCGUCUCCAAAACACUAAAUGGAGCCCUGGGCAGGUGCCUUGUGGCACCCGCUGUUCCCUGGGGUGCCCCAGAUGGCACUCUCCCCAAAAGCACCUGGUCGGCCUGAUGUCGCAGCCCAGGGGCAGCUUCUGUUCUUCCCAUUUAACAGCUGAGCUUGAAGCCAGGCGAGGUGGCACAUGCCAGUCAUCCUGCACUUGGGGGGGCUGAGGGCUGGGAUUACAGGCAUGUACACUCACCUUAGAACAAUGUCCAUGUCUGCCCAAAGGCCUUGAAUGCUCCCUAUUUUCAGUUCUGGGCAUCCCCCCCCCCUUUAUUUUUUGGUACCAGGGAUCCAACUCGGGACCUUGUGCUUGUGAGGCAGAUGGCAGAACCACUGAGCCAAAUCCCUGGCCA